GUCCACGCCGUAAACGAUGGGUACUAGGCGUCGGGGGGAGCGACCCUCCCGGUGCCGUCGCUAACGCAGUAAGUACCCCGCCUGGGGAGUACGGUCGCAAGACUGAAACUCAAAGGAAUUGACGGGGGCCCGCACAAGCGGUGGAGCAUGUGGUUUAAUUCGAAGCAACGCGAAGAACCUUACCUGGGCUUGACAUGCACGGGAAAGCCGGUGGAAACAUCGGUCCCUCUUCGGAGUCCGUGCACAGGUGCUGCAUGGCUGUCGU
rnacentral:rRNA from 1 species